ncrna:length=6843
UGGCGCAAUGGAUAACGCGUCGGUCUACGGAACCGAAGAUUGCAGGUUCGACUCCUGN